GUGGGGAAUCUUGCGCAAUGGGCGAAAGCCUGACGCAGCCAUGCCGCGUGAAUGAUGAAGGUCUUAGGAUUGUAAAAUUCUUUCACCGGGGACGAUAAUGACGGUACCCGGAGAAGAAGCUCCGGCUAACUUCGUGCCAGCAGCCGCGGUAAUACGAAGGGGGCUAGCGUUGCUCGGAAUUACUGGGCGUAAAGGGCGCGUAGGCGGACAGCUUAGUCAGAGGUGAAAGCCCAGGGCUCAACCUUGGAAUUGCCUUUGAUACUGGCUGUCUUGAGUUUGGGAGAGGUGAGUGGAACUCCGAGUGUAGAGGUGAAAUUCGUAGAUAUUCGGAAGAACACCAGUGGCGAAGGCGACAUACUGGCUCAUUACUGACGCUGAGGCGCGAAAGCGUGGGGAGCAAACAGGAUUAGAUACCCCGGUAGUCC
rnacentral:rRNA from 1 species